rnacentral:lncRNA from 1 species
UGUCACAGCCAUAGCAAUGCUAGAUCCAAGCUAUGUCUGUGACAUACAAUCACAGCUCAUGGCAACACCAGAUCACUUAACCCACUGAGCAAGGCCAGGAAUCGAACCCACAUCCUCACAGAUACUAGUUGGAUUCUUAACCCACUGAGCCACAACAGAACUCCUUGUCUAUCUCUUAAACCAAUAUUCUAUCAAAAAAGAUUAAUGUGAAUUGUGGUGGGGAAUAUGAAGCUAUGCUUUGGAAAGUACAAAAUCAAGGCAUAAAGAAGUUAGUAAAAUCUACAGACUAGUUCUGGUCCGUGGUCCUCACUAAUCAACUUCCAUAGUUGACUGUCAUACACACAAACACAGGCAAAUACGCACACAUGUGCACUGGUUUGCUGAAAGAGACAUUUCUUACAACAGAGACGGCAAUUACAAACACAUUUAUGGAAAAAUGGAAAUCUUAAAGUUGAUAUUUGAAGAAAUAAGAAUCUGAAUAGACUGCAGUUUUAUCUUAAGCUUAGACUUAAGAGAAGGAUUCCUGACCAAAGGCAACCAUCUUGCAGUCUAGGGUCCAAGCAGUUAAUAUAGCAUUGAGUGGGAUGGGUACAGAGGCUAGCAAAAGCGAUCCAAGCAGUUCUCAAAGUGGCCCCCAAAAGAAUGUCCUACAAACACUGUUAAAGAUUCCAAAAUGUUUACAGGAACUUCCCCUCAAAUAAACCAUGUACCAGUGAUUUUACAGCUAAGUUUUACUAACCGUUCAAUUUGGUCCAGAAAAUUAGAAGAAUGGGAGACCAUUAACACUACAGUUUGAAAAUAACUUUGAUUCUAAAACUGGUAAAUAAUAAUACAAAAUAAAAGAAAACAUAGGCCCAAUUAUCUCAUCAACAUAAAUUUGAGAAGUCUAAGUAAGGAAGACACCAAGAGAAUGGUGAUAAAUUACACCAGUUUCAUGCAGGGCUCCAGUUCCAGGGUUCUACUGCUUGCAGAACAAAGAUGGACAGUUAACUGAGAGCUACCUACCCUGUCAUGAUUGGUCAAUCAAUGUCUUAUGUACUCACUCAUGUGAGCUUCAGACUCUCUGUCUAGUCUGGCCUUCCUCUGUUGACACAAGAGGUUCAAGUGUUAAACCAGUGUAGACAUUGCUGCGGACAUUGUUCUAUCCCAGGAGAGGCUUGGAACCACAGAUAACCAAUCCUUCACUGUCCUGAAACAUUGGCCUUUCACUGGUUUGGUUCAGAGCAGUGACAAGGCAUGGCUAAAAUACUUUCCCUUGCAUUGCUUCUAGGAGGCCAUGUACUUACUGCCUUUUCUUUAGCUUAACCAUCAUAAUGCCAUCAAUACAGCAUACUUAAAUUUUUGCAGAUGGAUGAUGUGAUACCAUACUGAGAAAACCCUAAAGACAGCAUCAGAAAACUGUUAGAACUCAAUGAAUUUGGCAAAGUUGCAGGGUACGAAAUUAAUACACAGAAAUCAAUUGCAUUUAUAUAUACUAAAACUCAAAGAUAAGAAAGAGAAAUCAUAAAAAUCAUCCCAUUUAUAAUCACAUCAAAAAUAAUAAAAUACCUAGGAAUUAAUCUACCUAAAGAUCCCUAGCAAUGAAUCUAACUAUAGAAACAAAAGACCUAUACUCUGAAAACUAUGACACUGAUGAAAGAAAUUGAAGACAACACAAAUAGAUAUAAAGAUAUACUAUGCUCUUGGAUUGGAAGAAUCAAUAUUAUAAAAAUGACUAUACUAUCCAAGGCAAUUUACAGAUUCAAUACAGUCCCUAUCAAAUUACCAAGGACAUUCUUCACAUAACUAGAACAACAUAUUUUAAAAUUUGUAUGGAAACUAAGAGACCCCAAAUAGCCAAAGCAAUACUUAAAAAUAGAAAUGAAAAUGGAGGAAUCAACCUGACUUCAAACAAUACUACAAAGCUACCAUUAUCAAAAAAUAUGGUAGUGGCACUAAAACAGAAAUAUAGAUCAAUGGAACAGGACAGAAAGCCCACAGAUAAACCCACGCACCUAUGGUCAACUAAUCUAUGACAAAAGAGGUAAGAACAUACAGUGGAAAAAAGAUAGUCUCUUCAAUAAAUGGUGCUGGGAAAACUGGAAAGCUACAUGUAAAUGAAUGAAUAUAGAACACUAUCUAACAUCAUACACAAAAAUAAACUCAAAAUGGAUUAAAGACCUAAAUGUAAGGCCAGAUAAUAUAAAACUCCUAGAGGAAAAUAUAGGCAGAUCAUUCUUUGACCUAAAUCACCAAAGCAUCUUGUUUGAUCCACCUCCUAGAAUAAUGACAAUAAAGACACAAAUAAACAUAUGAGACCUAAUUAAACUCAAAAGCUUUUGCACAGCAAAGGAAACUAUUAAAAAAUGACAACCCACAGAGUGGGAGAGAUGAUGCAAUAGACAGGGGCCUAAUAAUCAAAAUAUACAAGCAAAACAAAAAUACAAAAUAAAAAAAAAAAACACUGAAAAAUGGGUAGAAAACCUAAACAGACAAUUCUCCAAAGAAGAUACAUGGAUGGCUGACAGGCACAUGAAAAAAUGCUCAACAUCCCUAAUUAUUAGAGAAAUGCAAAUCAAACUACAUGAGGUACCACCUCAUACCAGUCAGAAUGGCCAUCAUUAACAAGUCAACAGAUAGCAAAUGCUGAAAGGGUGUGGAGAAAAUGGUACCCUCAUCCAUUGUUGGUGGGAAUGUAAAUUGGUACAACCACUAUGGGAAGCAGUAUGGAACUUCCUCGUAAAACUAAAUAUAAAACUAUCAUAGGAACCAGCAAUCCCACUCCUGGGCAUAUAUUUGGGCAAAACUUUCAUUGAUACAUGUACCCCUGUGUUCACUGCAGCACUGUUCACAUGAGCCAAAAUAUGGAAACAACCUAAAUAUCCAUCAACAGAUGAAUGGGAUUAAGAUGUGGUAGUAAUAAUAAACAAAAUGAUGUAUAUAUAUAUAUAUAUAUACAAAGAAAUACUACUUAGCCAUAAAGAUAAACUAAUGCUAUUUGUAGCAACAUGGAUGGAACUAAAGAUUCUCAUACUAAGUGAAGAAAGCAAGAAAGAAAAUGAGAUAUUUUAGAUAUCACUUAUUUGUCAAAUCUAAAAUAUCACACAGGAGAGAGACAAGAUGGCAGAAGAGUAGGGGGACAUGCUUGCCCUCUCCCACAAACACACACAAAAAAACACAUCUACAGGAUAAACAACUCUCACAGAACAGCAACCAAUCGCUGGCAGAAAAACUAAAACUCCAUAUGGCAAGAAUCUUGUGACAUUACUAGGUAAAACAAGAGAAAAGAAGAGAGUGAGAGAAGGUGAAUCCAAGCUGGAUGGGCGCUCCCGAAAGGGAACUGUGGAGGAGAAAGGGAUCCUGCACCCUAGAAAGUCACCUACUCGAGAGAAAGAUCAACCAAACCGGAGGAAUCUCCAGAUGCAGAGAAGAGUGUUCUGAAAAGCAGAGCGAGAACCGAACAGAUUAUCUGAACUAUGGGUACAGUCACCAAAAAUUGAGAUGCCUGGGUUGGGGCUGGGCACCAAGACCUCGGCUCUGGAGGUUAGUCCCAGGGAAAGGGCCGGGGGUGUGGGGUGGAUCGGAGACUGCUUGGGAGGUCUAGAAACCAGUCUGUCAAGUUUGACAGGGCAGGGACUGCCUGGGAGACCAGAAAGCAGAGCGUUGCAGGGGGAGGGAGCAAUAUGCUAAGGGCGGGGAAGUGGAAAACCACAUCAGAGGGAACCUGGGAGAAGAGCCUGGUCUGCACCAGAGCUGGGGAGGGGAGAAAAGAAGGGGUGGGUCUCCAUAGAAUACUUCCCAUGCCACAGCAAGCUUACCGGCCCGCUAGCUAUCAGAAAGCUGUGCUCCCCAGUGCAUCCCCUCCCCACCCGCCCCCACCACCCCCUACGCACACGCAGGACCUGGGGCUGCCUGCCAUCGAGGAGGGCUGGCCUCAACAAUUGCUGGAAGCCUACCACUGUAGGGGCUGUCCCUGAUCUGGCCUGCUUGCCCUUUGGAGGGGCUACAC